AUGCCCAAGGACACCCAGACCCACAACCAGCCCAUGGAGGAGGAGGAGGUGGAGACCUUCACCUUCCAGGGAGAGAUUGCCCAGCUGCUGUCAUUGAUCAUCAACAUUUUCUACUUGAACAAAGAGCUCUUCCUGUGGAAGCUGAUUUCCAAUUCAUCCUACRACCUGGACAAAAUCAGAUAUGAAAGCUUGGCCUAUCCCAGUAAGCUGGACUCCGGGAAGGAGCUUCACAUCAAUCUCAUUCCAAACAAACAAGACUGAACCCUCAGGAUUGUGGAUGCUGGAAUUGGAAUGACCAAGGCCAAAUUGAUCAGUAAGCUUGGUACUAUGCCACGUCUGGGACCAAAGCAUUCAUGGAGGUUUUGCAGGCUGGCGCAGACAUCUCCAGUUUGGUGUUGGUUUUUAUUCUGCGUAUUUGGUUGCCAAGAAAGUGGCUGUAAUCCCCAAACAACGAUGAGGAGCAGUAUGCCUCAGAAUCCUCUGCAGGGGGCUCCUUCCCUGUCAGGACUGACACGGAGGAACCAAUGGGUCAUGGGACAAAGGUUAUCCUACAUCUGAAAGACCCAACUGAGUACUUGAUGGAAAGAAGAAUAAAGAAGAUUAUGAAAAAACAAAUUCCCAGUUUAUUAGCUAUUCCAUUACUCAGUGGAGAAGGAACCUGAUAAUGAAGUCAGUGAUAAGGAUGCUAAAGAAAAUGAAGAUAAAGAGGAGGAAAAAAGAAAAAAGGAGACAAACUGAAAUUGAAGAUGUUCUGACGAUGAAGAAAAGAAAGAUGGUGGGAAAAAGAAGGAGAAGGAGAAGAAGAAGAUUAAGGAGAAGUACCUCAGUCACAAAGAACUCAACAAAACAAAGCCCAUUUGGACCAGAAAUUCUGACAAUAUCACUAACAAAGAAUAUGGAGAGUUCUAUAAGGGCUUGACCAACAAUUGGGAAGAUCACUUAGCAGUGAAACAUUUUUCCGUCAAAGGACAGUUAGAACUCAGAGCUCUUCUUUUUGUCCCAAGACAUGCUCCUUUUGACCUCUUUGAAAACAGGAAGAAAAAGAACAGCAUUAAGUUGUAUAUAUGCAGAGUUUUCAUCAUGGAUAACUCUGAGGAGCUAAUCCCUGAAUAUCUGAACUUCAUUAGAGAAGUGGUGGCCUUCGAGGAUCUUCCUCUAAAUUUUUCCCAUGAAAUGUUGCAACAGAGCAAAAUUUUGAAAGUCAUUAGAAAGAAUUUGGUCAAAAAAUGCUUAGAACUGUUCACUGAACUGGCAGAAAAUAAAGAGUACUACAAAAAAUCCUAUAAGCAAUUUUUUAAAAAUGUAAAGCUUAGAAUAUAUGAAGACUCUCAAAAUUGAAAGCUUUCAGAGCUGUUAGGAUACUAGAUGUCUGCUUCUGGGGAUAAAAUGGUUCCUCUCAAGGACUGUUGCACCAGAAUGAAGUAAAACCAGAAACACAUCKACCAUAUCACAGGUGAGACCAAAGAUCAGGUAGCUAACUUUGCCUUUGUGGAGCAUCAGUGGAAUAGUGAUKUGAAAGUGGCCUACCUGAUUGAGCCCAUCUAUGAAUGCUGUGUCCUACAUCUAAAGAAAUUUGAGGGGAAGACUUCAGUGUCUGUCACCAAAGAGGGCUUGAAACUUCCAGAGGAUGAAGAAGAAAAGAAACAGGAAGAAAAAAAGACAAAGUUUGAAAACCUGUGCAAGAUCAUGAAGGACAUCUUGGAGAAAAAGAUUGAAAAAGUGGUUGUGUCAAAUCAAUUGGUGGCCUCCCCRUGCUUUAUCAUCACAAGCACAUAUGGCUGGACAGCAAACAUGGAAAGACUCAUGAAAGCUCAAGCUCUGAGAGACAAUUCAACAAUGGGCUACAUCAAAGCCAAGAAACACCUGGAGAUAAAUAAACCAAACCACUCCAUUAUUGAGACCUCAAGGCAAAAGGUGGAGGCCCACAAGCAUGGUAGGUCUGUGAAAGAUCUGGUCAUCUUACUGUAUGAAACUGCACUCCUGUCUUCUGGCUUCAGUUUGGAAGAUCUCCAGACCCAUGAUAACAGGAUCUACAGGAUGAUCAAACUUUGUCCAAGUAUUGAUGAGGAUGCUCUCACGGCUGGUGACACCAGCCAUGCUGUAACGGAAGAGAUGCAGCUCCUGGAAGGAGAUGAGGACAGGUCGUGCAUGGAAGAAGUAGACUAA